rnacentral:sRNA from 1 species
UGUCGUGGACCUGACAUUUGUCCAGUGC